rnacentral:sRNA from 1 species
UCUGAAUAUGGCUGGCUUAUCCGGAGUUCUUUACCAUUCCACACUGCUCCAUUUGUCCACACAAUAUAGACUCCUGAAGGGGGAGGAAGAAACUAAAGAGAGGAAGAUGCCAUGUUCUGUUUGCUAAAAGCUUGAAUAUUGUGUGGGCAUAUUGUGAAGAUGAUUGGCAGAUGACGGAGAGAUUAUCUCCUGUGACCUCUGCAUCAGCUCCUGCUUCCUGAUC